GUACUCUCUUCGGCGGUACAGAUACUAAAAUUGGAAUUAUACAGAGAAGAUUAGCACGGCCCCAGAGCAAGGAUGACACUAAAAAUCGCGAAGUGUUCCACAUAUUC